rnacentral:hammerhead_ribozyme from 1 species
AUCGAGCUGACGAGUCCCAUUUUGGACGAAACGCGUGUCCUGGAU